rnacentral:lncRNA from 1 species
AGGAUAAAAGCAAAACCAUAUUCCUGCUGCUGUCAGUUAUGAUGCACUGAGAAAACUUCAGAGACCUAAACUUUUUCCAGAGAAGAGAAGCUUUACUGGUGUUCCAGCCCUAAGAAACCUUUGUUCAAGAAAACGGCAGAUGCUCUGUUGAAUCCACUGGAGAUUGUUCUGAUACUAAGGACAACAACCAUCUUUCCUGUGAAAAAUUCCCUCUCGUACUUUAGUUCUGUGGAUCCAAAAUUUAUAGCAUUCUUCUACCACCACAGGGGCUCAUAUGACAUUAACAGACAAGACACUUUUCAGAAAGACAGGCAACGUGUUGGACCUUCCGGAGCUUCUCAGAAGACAGAGGGUUUUCUUUUGAGGUAAAUUUGAUAGUACAUUUUGAUAGUACGGGAGGCGAUACGGCAUGGUGACAGAAAAGCGCCGGCUUGGUUAGCAGGACCACCUGGCAGGGCUGCAGGCUGUGCCACUUACCAGGCAGGGGACCUUGGGCCAGCUGCUUGGCCUCACUCACCCUGUUUCUCAGCUGCAAUUGGGAUGAACAGACUGCCU